rnacentral:rRNA from 1 species
UGGGGACAAUGGCAAGAGUUAAUCACCUGAUCCAUUUCCGAACUCAGAAAGGAAACAUUUUAGGGUUGGAUGGUAAUGUGGCAUUUGCAAAGUGAGAAUAUAGCAUCACUAGCUU